UGAACGCUGGCGGUAUGCUUAACACAUGCAAGUCGAACGGAAACGAUACUAGCUUGCUAGUAGGCGUCGAGUGGCGGACGGGUGAGUAACGCGUAGGAAUCUGCCUGAUAGUGGGGGAUAGCCCGAAGAAAUUCGGAUUAAUACCGCAUAAUCUAUUCGUAGUAAAGUGGGGGACUUUCGAGCCUCACGCUAUCAGAUGAGCCUGCGUAAGAUUAGCUUGUUGGUAGGGUAAAAGCCUACCAAGGCGACGAUCUUUAGCUGGUCUGAGAGGAUGAUCAGCCACAUCGGGACUGAGACACGGCCCGAACUCCUACGGGAGGCAGCAGUGGGGAAUAUUGGACAAUGGGGGCAACCCUGAUCCAGCAAUACCGCGUGUGUGAAGAAGGCCUGAGGGUUGUAAAGCACUUUCAAUUGUGAAGAAAAGUUAGCGGUUAAUAACCGUUAGCCUUGACGUUAACUUUAGAAGAAGCACCGGCUAACUCCGUGCCAGCAGCCGCGGUAAUACGGAGGGUGCAAGCGUUAAUCGGAAUUACUGGGCGUAAAGCGUGCGUAGGCGGUUUAUUAAGUCAGAUGUGAAAGCCCCGGGCUUAACCUGGGAACUGCAUUUGAAACUGGUCAACUAGAGUAUGGUAGAGGAAAGUGGAAUUUCUGGUGUAGCGGUGAAAUGCGUAGAUAUCAGAAGGAACAUCAAUGGCGAAAGGCAGCUUUCUGGACCAAUACUGACGCUGAGGUACGAAAGCGUGGGUAGCAAACAGGAUUAGAUACCCUGGUAGUCCACGCCGUAAACGAUGAUAACUAGCCGUUGGGGGGAUUUACCCCUUAGUGGCGAAGCUAACGCGUUAAGUUAUCCGCCUGGGGAGUACGGCCGCAAGGUUAAAACUCAAAGGAAUUGACGGGGACCCGCACAAGCGGUGGAGCAUGUGGUUUAAUUCGAUGCAACGCGAAGAACCUUACCUGGUCUUGACAUCCUGCGAACUUUCUAGAAAUAGAUUGGUGCCUUCGGGAACGCAGUGACAGGUGCUGCAUGGCUGUCGUCAGCUCGUGUCGUGAGAUGUUGGGUUAAGUCCCGUAACGAGCGCAACCCCUAUCCUUAUUUGCCAGCACAUCAUGGUGGGAACUAUAAGGAGACUGCCGGUGAUAAACCGGAGGAAGGCGGGGACGACGUCAAGUCAUCAUGGCCCUUACGACCAGGGCUACACACGUGCUACAAUGGGAAGGACAAAGAGCCGCGAAGCCGCGAGGUGUAGCUAAUCUCAUAAACCUUUUCGUAGUCCGGAUUGGAGUCUGCAACUCGACUCCAUGAAGUCGGAAUCGCUAGUAAUCGUAGAUCAGAAUGCUACGGUGAAUACGUUCCCGGGUCUUGUACACACCGCC
rnacentral:rRNA from 1 species